ACUCAAUAGAUACCCGGGUAGUCCUAGCUGUAAACGAUGAUGACUAGGUGUGGGAGGUAUCGACCCCUUCCGUGCCGCCGCUAAACGCAUUAAGUCAUCCGCCUGGGGAGUACGGCCGCAAGGUUAAAACUCAAAGGAAUUGACGGGGGCCCGCACAAGCGGUGGAGCAUGUGGUUUAAAUUCGACGCUACGCGAAGAACCUUACCUGGGCUCGAACGACUGGUGGUAGUCCGGUGGAAACACUGGGCGACCCGCAAGGGAGCCAGCCGAGGUGCUGCAUGGCUGUCGUCAGCUCGUGUCGCGAGAUGUUGGGUUAAGUCCCCGCAACGAGCGCAACCCCUAUCCUGUGUUGCUACCCGCAAGGGAGGACUCUCAGGAGACUGCCGCGGAUAACGUGGA
rnacentral:rRNA from 1 species